rnacentral:misc_RNA from 1 species
GCCGAUUCUUGCAUUUCUCAUCAAUCUGGCCAUUUCGGACAAUUUUGAACAAAUAGCAAUUAAAUUGAAGAAUGACUGUUUACAAAGAUUGGCUAUAAUGCUAUUUACAGCAUAACAGGUAGAGGCCAAUAUCAAUUUCAUUGAAUAAAAGAAUGAUUUUGGAAGUUAGUUUCCAAGGAUAAGGCUUCUUGAGCUUCUUAAGGAAUAAGUGAACAUCACACAUAUAUAAUCAUGAAUUCAAUAAAACUG